UGGUGAAUAAUAUCCGUUUGUAUUGUCCUCUCCGGCGGGGCGGAGGAGAGCCCGGCUGCCCCGUGGAGAUUAGCAAUGGGAGCCAGCCAAGCCUGGGAGCCCUCUCAUGGCUGCUGGACUCUGCUGCGUUGAAGCGGCUUCAUUUCAGCGCGUUGUUCUGGGCUCGUGCAAUCAAAUACGUGCCCACCCUGAGGCCAGUUGGGUUAAACGUGGGGUUGGCCAAAGAGCACUGAGAUAUCAGCAGGAGCAGCAGAGUCUGACAUGAUUUUUCCACUGGAAAAAGACUCUGCCCAGCAGGAACGUCUUACUGGGAAGAGCUGGGAGAUUCGCGGCGGCUGAGACGCCCGCGUGGCAGCCCGUCUCCUCCGUGGACCGCACACCUUUGAGCAGCACCGUACAGGAAAACCACCAGGGACGCGGAGCAGUGGCUGCUGAGCAGAGGCUGACUAUCCAUUCAGUUUUUGUCGCGGCAUCACCCCGUGCCCCUACGAAGAGUUGAUCUGAGCCAGUGACACUCAUCCCGUGUCCACCCCCCGUGCACUCUGCCUGCAAACACUUGCACAAGUGAUGUAAUCCAUUACACGUCUUGCCUCUUUUCCCAUCGGUUGGGCAGUGUCUUGGCUUGUGCUGGUUGCAACAACAUGUGCAUCUCCACUUCUGUUUUUCUUGGAGAGUGACCUUUAGCUCCACAUCUCUCUCGGCCUCAGGCUUCUUUUCGUACAGUAGUCGGGAUUUUCUUGCUUAUCUGUAGCACCAGAGCUCUGCUGACCCGCUCUCUGCUGCAUUUCUCCCAUUACAUGGCAAAUUGGAAAGGCUUUCUGGGUCUUUGCCUAGUCUGCCUCUGACCAUGUUGUUCCAGGUCCUGGACCCAAUCUAGUGUCUUUUUGAGGACUCUGUUAAACCUUUCAAAAUUGCAAGAUUGUCUUUCCCAUUUUAGAUCAGACACAACCUCAUAUGUGGUUUCACCUUCCUGUGAUGAAAAACAUUUCUCCUAUGUUUCAUUCUGACAUGAAGCUCGGCGCCCCUUGCAUCUCUGUCCAACACCUUCCUGGUCAGACGCUUCUGCGUGAGUUAACUGAGAGCCUCUGAAGGCAUCGGGGACGUCAGAACAGCUAUCUCGUGACUGGCGGCUUUACCACCCUCAACUCUCCUGUGAGACAUGAACUUUCAUUUCUACCCAGGAGAACUUUUACAAUCUUUUUUCCGAUGCCUGAUGAAGGGUGUUUGUGCCCAAAAGCUUGUGAUAAAAGAUUUUUUUUGCAAAAAUGUUGUUGGUCUAAUAAAAGAUAUCACCUCUA